rnacentral:tRNA from 6 species
CGAGGUGUUGCGCAGCUGGUAGCGCGCGUGGUUUGGGACCACGAGGCCGCAGGUUCGAGUCCUGUCACCUCGACCA